rnacentral:tRNA from 1 species
GCAGUGAUGGUUCAGUGGUAGAAUUCUCACUUUCCACGUGGGGGACCUGGGCUCUAUUCUUGGCCAAUGCA